AUCAGAUGCAACCACCCAGAGUUUAAAGUAUUAAGAUAUUAUUCUUCCUGUUUAUAGACUGAAAUUACAGCUAUCUUUAUUUAGCUUUGCAACUUAAUGUGGUAAAUAACUGCAAAUUCUGGCAGUAAAAAAUCAUCAACAGGAUAACAAAACUUGCCAUUGACCAACAAAAGCCAUAAUUGACAAAUGGGAUCUAAUUAAACUAAAGAGCUUCUGCACAGCAUAAGAAACUACCAUCAGAGUGAACAAGCAACCAACAGAAUGGGAGAAAAUUUUUGCAACCUACUCAUCUGACAAA
rnacentral:lncRNA from 10 species